AAGUCGUAACAAGGUUUCCGUAGGUGAACCUGCGGAAGGAUCAUUAUCGUAGGGCUUCGGCCCCGACGAGAUAGAACCCUUGCCUUUUUGAGUACCUUUCGUUUCCUCGGCAGGCUCGCCUGCCAAUGGGGACCCUUCAAAACGCUUUGUAGUACCUGUAACUGUCUGAACAAACAAACAAAAAUCAAAACUUUCAACAACGGAUCUCUUGGUUCUG
rnacentral:misc_RNA from 1 species